ACGUCAAAUCAUCAUGCCCCUUAUGUCCUGGGCUACACACGUACUACAAUGGCUGAAACAAAGGGAAGCAAGACCGCGAGGUGGAGCAAAUCCCAAAAUACAGUCCCAGUUCGGAUUGCAGGCUGAAACCCGCCUGCAUGAAGUUGGAAUUGCUAGUAAUCGCAGGUCAGCAUACUGCGGUGAAUACGUUCCCGGGCCUU
rnacentral:rRNA from 1 species